UGAAUACGAGACGCUAAGGCGUUGAAGUAGUGUAUGUCAUACUUCCAAGAAAAGCUUGCACUGUCAUAGAUAAAAAACGCCUGUACCAUAACCGACACAGGUGGGUAGGUAGAGUAUACUAAGGGGCGCGAGAUAACUCUCUCUAAGGAACUCGGCAAAAUAACUCCGUAACUUCGGGAGAAGGAGUGCCUUAUUUAUAAGGCUGCAAUAACAAGAUCCAAGCAACUGUUUAUCAAAAACACAGGUCUCCGCUAAGUCGUAAGACGAUGUAUGGGGGCUGACGCCUGCCCAGUGCCAGAAGGUUAAAGAAGUUGGUUAGCAAUAGCGAAGCUGAUAACUGAAGCCCUGGUGAACGGCGGCCGUAACUAUAACGGUCCUAAGGUAGCGAAAUUCCUUGUCGGGUAAGUUCCGACCCGCACGAAAGGCGUAAUGAUUUGGAUACUGUCUCGGAGAGGGGCUCGGUGAAAUAGACUUGUCUGUGAAGAUGCGGACUACCUGCACCAGGACAGAAAGACCCUAUGAAGCUUUACUGUAACUUGAAAUUGAAAUUGGACUUUAUUCGCGCAGUAUAGGUGGGAGGCGUUGAUUGUAAUCUUGCGGGAUUAUUGGAGCCAUCAGUGAGAUACCACCCUUGUAAUGUUAGAUUUCUAACUUUGAAUCAUUAUCUGGUCAAAGAACAGUUUCAGGCGGGCAGUUUGACUGGGGCGGUCGCCUCCUAAACGGUAACGGAGGCGUACAAAGGUUUCCUCUGAACGGUUAGAAAUCGUAUCUAGAGUGUAAAGGCGAAGCUUGACUGUGAGACCUACAAGUCGAGCAGGGACGAAAGUCGGUCUUAGUGAUCUGACGGUACUGAGUGGAAAGGCCGUCACUCAACGGAUAAAAGUUACUCUAGGAUAACAGGCUGAUCUCCCCCAAGAGUUCACAUCGACGGGGAGGUUUGGCACCUCGAUGUCGGCUCAUCGCAUCCUGGGGCGGUAGUACGUCCCAAGGGUUGGGCUGUUCGCCCAUGAAAGCGGUACGCGAGCUGGGUUCAGAACGUCGUGAGACAGUUCGGUCCAUAUCCGGUGUAGGCGUUAGAAUAUUGAGAGGAGCCUUCUUUAGUACGAGAGGACCGAGAAGGACAUACCUCUGGUGUACCGGUUAUCGUGCCAACGGUAAACGCUGGGUAGCUAUGUAUGGAGUGGAUAACCGCUGAAAGCAUCUAAGUGGGAAGCCCACCUCAAGAUAAGUAUUCUCAUC
rnacentral:rRNA from 1 species